rnacentral:rRNA from 1 species
CGCUAUCACUCCUACGGGGAGGCAGCAGUAGGGAAUCUUCCACAAUGGGCGCAAGCCUGAUGGAGCAACACCGCGUGAGUGAAGAAGGGUUUCGGCUCGUAAAGCUCUGUUGUUAAAGAAGAACACGUAUGAGAGUAACUGUUCAUACGUUGACGGUAUUUAACCAGAAAGUCACGGCUAACUACGUGCCAGCAGCCGCGGUAAUACGUAGGUAGCAAGCGUUAUCCGGAUUUAUUGGGCGUAAAGAGAGUGCAGGCGGUUUUCUAAGUCUGAUGUGAAAGCCUUCGGCUUAACCGGAGAAGUGCAUCGGAAACUGGAUAACUUGAGUGCAGAAGAGGGUAGUGGAACUCCAUGUGUAGCGGUGGAAUGCGUAGAUAUAUGGAAGAACACCAGUGGCGAAGGCGGCUACCUGGUCUGCAACUGACGCUGAGACUCGAAAGCAUGGGUAGCGAACAGGAUUAGAUACCCUGGUAG